rnacentral:rRNA from 1 species
UACGAAGGGUGCAAGCGUUACUCGGAAUUACUGGGCGUAAAGCGUGCGUAGGUGGUUUGUUAAGUCUGAUGUGAAAGCCCUGGGCUCAACCUGGGAAUGGCAUUGGAAACUGGCGACCUAGAGUGCGGUAGAGGGUAGUGGAAUUCCCGGCGUAGCAGUGAAAUGCGUAGAGAUCGGGAGGAACAUCUGUGGCGAAGGCGACUACCUGGACCAGCACUGACACUGAGGCACGAAAGCGUGGGGAGCAAACAGG